GUCAAUGUGGAGGCUAUAUACAGGGUAUUACGGUACAGAGUCAAUGUGGAGGCUAUAUACAGGGGGUACUGGUACAGAGUCAAUGUGGAGGCUAUAUACAGGGGGUACCGGUACAGAGUCAAUGUGGAGGCUAUAUACAGGGGGUACAGGUACAGAGUCAAUGUGGAGGCUAUAUACAGGGGGUACCGGUACAGAGUCAAUGUGGAGGCUAUAUACAGGGGUACCGGUACAGAGUCAAUGUGGAGGCUAUAUACAGG
ensembl:lncRNA